rnacentral:rRNA from 1 species
AUUGAACGCUGGCGGAAUGCUUUACACAUGCAAGUCGAACGGCAGCACGGACUUCGGUCUGGUGGCGAGUGGCGAACGGGUGAGUAAUGUAUCGGAACGUGCCCAGUCGUGGGGGAUAACGUAGUGAAAAUUACGCUAAUAACGCAUACGAUCUAUGGAUGAAAGCGGGGGAUCGCAAGACCUCGCGCGAUUGGAGCGGCCGAUAACAGAUUAGUUAGUUGCUGGGGUAAAGGCCCCCCAAGCCAACGAUCUGAAGCUGGUCUGAGAGGACGACCAGCCACACUGGAACUGAGACACGGUCCAGACUCCUACGGGAGGCAGCAGUGGGGAAUUUUGGACAAUGGGCGAAAGCCUGAUCCAGCCAUUCCGCGUGCAGGAUGAAGGCCCUCGGGUUGUAAACUGCUUUUGUACAGAACGAAAAGGUUUCUACUAAUACUAGGAGCUCAUGACGGUACUGUAAGAAUAAGCACCGGCUAACUACGUGCCAGCAGCCGCCGCCG